rnacentral:rRNA from 1 species
UACAGAGGGUGCGAGCGUUGUCCGGAAUCACUGGGCGUAAAGGGCGCGUAGGCGGCCGGGUAAGUAGGAGGUGAAAUCUCACGGCUCAACCGUGAGGCUGCCUUCUAGACUGUCUGGCUCGAGCAUGGUAGAGGCUGGUGGAAUUCCCGGUGUAGCGGUGGAAUGCGUAGAGAUCGGGAAGAACAUCGGUGGCGAAGGCGGCCAGCUGGGCCAUUGCUGACGCUGAUGCGCGAAAGCGUGGGGAGCAAACAGG